CGUAGGUGGCGAGCGUUGUCCGGAUUUACUGGGCGUAAAGAGCGCGCAGGCGGUCGUGCAAGUCGCGUGUGAAAGCCCCCGGCUCAACUGGGGAGGGUCACGCGAUACUGCUCGACUCGAAGGCAGGAGAGGGAAGUGGAAUUCCCGGUGUAGUGGUGAAAUGCGUAGAUAUCGGGAGGAACACCAGUGGCGAAGGCGACUUCCUGGCCUGUUCUUGACGCUGAGGCGCGAAAGCUAGGGUAGCAAACGGGAUUAGAUACCCCGGUAGUCCUAGCCGUAAACGAUGGACACUAGGUGUUGGUGGUAUCAACCCUGCCAGUGCCGAAGCUAACGCAUUAAGUGUCCCGCCUGGGGAGUACGGCCGCAAGGCUA
rnacentral:rRNA from 1 species